GACGAACGCUGGCGGUGUGCUUCACACAUGCAAGUCGAGCGAGCGAUUUUUUUGUAGCAAUACAAGAGAAAAGCUAGCGGCGGACGGGUGAGUAACGCGUGGGAAUCUGCCUUGAAAUGGGGGGAUAGCAGACCGAAAGGUCUAUUAAUACCGCAUACGUGUAUAUCUCGACAGAGGUAUAUAUAAAAGGAGCAAUCCGUUUCAAGAUGAGCCUGCGUCCGAUUAGCUAGUUGGUAGGGUAAAAGCCUACCAAGGCGACGAUCGGUAGGUGGUCUGAGAGGAUGAUCACCCACAAUGGGACUGAGACACGGCCCAUACUCCUACGGGAGGCAGCAGUGGGGAAUUUUACGCAAUGGGGGAAACCCUGACGUAGCGACACCGCGUGAGCGAAGAAGCCCUGUGGGGUGUAAAGCUCUGUCAGCUGGGACGAAACAAAUGACGGUACCAGCAGAGGAAGCAUCGGCUAACUACGUGCCAGCAGCCGCGGU
rnacentral:rRNA from 1 species